rnacentral:rRNA from 1 species
CCUACGGGAGGCAGCAGUGGGGAAUAUUGCACAAUGGGGGAAACCCUGAUGCAGCGACGCCGCGUGAGUGAAGACGUAUUUCGGUAUGUAAAGCUCUAUCUGUAGGGGAGAAAAUGACGGUACCUGACUAAGAAGCCCCGGCUAACUACGUGGCAGCAGCCGCGGUAAUACGUCGGGGGCAAGCGUUAUCCGGAUUUACUGGGGGUAAAGGGAGCGUAUACGGCAGCGCAAUGCUGUAGUGAAUUCCCAUGGCUUAAACAUGGAACUGCUUUUGAAACGGUGCGGCUAGAGUGCAGUAGAGGUAAGCGGAAUUGCUAGUGUAGCGGUGAAAUGCGUAGAUAUUAGGAGGAACACCAGUGGCGAAGGCGGCUUACUGGACUGUAACUGACGUUGAGGCUCGAAAGCGUGGGGAGCAAACAGGAUUAGAUAUCCGAGUAGUC